rnacentral:rRNA from 1 species
GGGGAAUAUUGGGCAAUGGGGGGAAACCCUGACCCAGCAACGCCGCGUGAAGGAAGAAGGCCCUCGGGUUGUAAACUUCUUUUACCAGGGACGAAGGACGUGACGGUACCUGGAGAAAAAGCAACGGCUAACUACGUGCCAGCAGCCGCGGUAAUACGUAGGGGGCGAGCGUUGUCCGGAAUUACUGGGCGUAAAGGGUGCGCAGGCGGUUCUGCAAGUCUGGUGUGAAAUGCCGGGGCUCAACCCCGGAACUGCGUUGGAAACUGCAGGACUUGAAUCGCUGAGGGGCAGCCAGAAUUCCAGGUGUAGGGGUGAAAUCUGUAGAUAUCUGGAAGAAUACCAAUGGCGAAGGCAGGCUGCCAGCAGAUGAUUGACGCUGAGGUACGAAGGUGCGGGGAGCAAACAGGAUUAGAUACCCUGGUAGU